AAAACAUCAAUUGCCGGAAGACACAAACAAGCAAGAAACGAGCGAAUAGCAGCAUAGUUGAGUUUGAGGGAUUUAUUCGAUGGCGUCCGUGUGCGACCUGUGGGACCAAAUGGAAGGACAGUUGGGAGCCUUUGUCCUGCCUUUGCCGCUGAAAUAAUUAUGGCAGCUAUAGCAGAUGUGAAAACUACAAAACUACAAUGAGAUGUUGGAGUCCAUGUGAUAGGAUGUUUGUCCAGAAAAUAACUCAAAUAGCUAUUUACAUUGGCAAGAAGCUGCUAUGUUUAGAGUUGUAUGUGUAAUCAGUGUAAAUAAAAAAAAG